UUUUUUUUUUUUCUUUCCCUCUAAGCGUAGUUCCUAAUUAUGCCUUGACCACUCUUUAUUGCCGUUUGUGUUUCAACCGUGAAAAUUAAUUUUGGACUUUUAUUUUUUUCAUUACUGGCUCAAUGUGCCAUUUGUUUGACGGUCAAGGUCUCGCGUAGCUACUAAGCUUUGCAAUUAUUGACGUAGGUCAUGAUGAAGCUUUAGUUUUCUUCUUCCCACUUUUGUUCGCAAUAAUCGCAUACUCAUAUGCGUUCCGCGAUUAUUGCUGUAUCGGAGACGUGAUUAAUCCUAUACAAUUGGCGAUGCCUGUCAUCAGUGGAUUAAUAUUUGUGUCAUCAUCUAUCUUGUCAUCUUGUCACUUGUCAUCUUUUGUGAUAUUUAGCUGUAAAAGUUAAAUUCAUGUAAUGAUGUGAAAUAACAAAAAUUUGAUCAUGUAUUAGUAAACUAAAAGAGAGAGAGAAAAAAAAAAACGUUCCUGUUUCGAACCUUAGAUCCUCUGAUCUUUGGUUUCGCUGUUUACUUUGAGUCCAGUUGUGAGGAACUCGAAUGAAAAGGUAUUUUAUUGAUGUUAUUUUAUGUGAUCAACUCACGUGUUUGACCCACUGUGAGUUGAUAUAUUUUUAGGUUUCCAUUCCAAUUGGAAAAUUUUCGAUGGACUUGAUUCACUGGUAUGUGUGAAACCGUGUCAAUCGACUAAUAAAAAUGCAAUUAUGCAUUAUUGAUUGUCGUCAUUCUUAAUUUGUUUCGGUAUGGGCAGUACGGGUCGGUACCCCUGGUUUUUUAGUUUGAUUUGUUCAUUAAAUUAAAAAAAAAUUCUGAGGUUAUCUUAGUGGCGUGUGACUAGCCACGGAUUAGAAUGUAGUGUCGUAGUAGUGGAAUAUUCUGUGCCAGAAAGUGGAAUAUUCUGUGCCAGAAUAGUGUGGUGAACAGUCCGCUAUGGCGGUGAGGUUGGAUGGGUUGAAUCCUGUUGCUGGUUCCAGUGCCCUGUGAGCUGCUCCCUGUCCGUGGGAUCUAUUGCGAUUGGAUUUCGAAAACUUGAAUUCGCGUAACACUGGUCAACAGUCGAUCUCGGAUUGUUAUUAUUGUUCCUCUAACACUUUCACUGUUUCUUCUUCUAAUCCUUUUUAUUUGUUCUUUUAGGUUUCGACCAUCUUCGAGGAGGAGCCCUUAGAAAUAUUGGACUUGCACGUUUCGUGGCAUUCACUUUCGUUGAUUUGGGUCUGUUUUUCCGAUACGUCAAAGUCACUUAAGCACGCUCUUUUGCGCUGUCACCAAUGAAGCGGAAUACGUACCGAGUGGUUAGACACUAUUACUGCUGGAUGUGAUAUGUCCUUUGAUUAACUGCACUACAUCUGCUCGAUUUUAAUUACUUUUAAUCUAUCAGUUAAGUUGAAAAAAUAUUAAAUCACUUAAACACUAAACCGAAACUUAAACAACGGGCAUCACUUCUGCCUCGCGGAAUAAAACUUAAGAGUUAACACCUAAACGAACCGCGGACUAUCUAUAACGACGUAGGCACCUGCCUCACGAGGGGUAUCACUAUAACGACGUCGGACUUCCUUGAAGUCCCAGCUUAAGUAUUCGCCGCUACUCCGGUCACUCCGAAUUUUCCCGCGGCGUCGUCUUCUCACGAGAGCGGGCCGCUCUUCCGUCUCUUUCCUCGCGAACGUGCCCGUGCACGGCUGAUGCAAUCGUUGUUGACUUUUUCGUAAAUCCGCUCGGUUGCAUGUUUUGAUUAAACAUCCGCGAAUUGGAGUUUUUUGCUGUAAAUAUAAACUUAAAACAUUCGAACUUGCGUUCGAUUUAAUAACUGAGGUAUUGUUUUUGCCUCCAUAAUCAAAACAAUACCUUCUUUGAUUAUGAUCCACUUUUCAUAUUUUCAUAACAUGAGUGGUGGAUGGAAUUUCAAGUUUCAACACUUGCGAUGUUGAAACAAAUUGACAAGAGAAAUGAUUUCAUCAUCUUGUCCAUGCAUAUUAAUGACAAGUUUUUCCAAAGAUGUUUUUUCCAUUUAGGAUUUUUCUUAAUCCUUCUUUGGAAGAGAAUGGAAAUUAAUUGUAACC